AGGAGCUCAAAUUUGAAAUCUGGGGUCGCCGACCUCCGAGUUGUAAUUUGGAGAGGCAUCUUCGGGGUGGAGCGCCGGCCCCAUGUUCCUUGGAACAGGACGUCGCAGAGGGUGAGAAUCCCGUGCCAGGCCGGCCGCCUCCGCCCCAUCGAGGGGCCUUCGACGAGUCGAGUUGUUUGGGAAUGCAGCUCCAAGUGGGUGGUAAAUUUCAUCUAAAGCUAAAUACCGGCGGGAGACCGAUAGCGCACAAGUAGAGUGAUCGAAAGAUGAAAAGCACUUUGAAAAUAGAGUCAAAAAGUACGUGAAAUUGUUGAAAGGGAAGCGCUUGAGACCAGACCCAGACCCGGGCAAACACCGCGCCCCUCGGGGCCGUGCAAUUGCCCGUGGCUGGGCCAGCAUCAGUCGGCCCGGCGGGACAAAUGCGAGGGGAAUGUGUCUCCCCUCGGGGAGUGUUUAUUAGCCCCUCGCCCAAUGCCGCCCGAGCCGACUGUGGACC
rnacentral:rRNA from 1 species